rnacentral:tRNA from 1 species
GGGCCGUUAGCUCAGCCGGUAGAGCAGUGGGCUUUUAACCCAUGUGUCAAGAGUUCGAAUCUCUUACGGCCCACCA